rnacentral:rRNA from 1 species
CAUAGGUUUGGUCCCAGCCUUCCUGUUAACUCUUAAUAAACUUACACAUGCAAGCAUCUACACCCCAGUGAGAAUGCCCUCUAGGUUAUUAAAACUAAGAGGAGCUGGCAUCAAGCACACACCCUGUAGCUCACGACGCCUUGCUUAACCACACCCCCACGGGAAACAGCAGUGACAAAAAUUAAGCCAUAAACGAAAGUUUGACUAAGUUAUAUUAAUUAGGGUUGGUAAAUCUCGUGCCAGCCACCGCGGUCAUACGAUUAACCCAAGCUAACA